rnacentral:lncRNA from 10 species
AUAAAGCACCAAAUUUAUUAUAAAAAUAAAAGUAACAUCCAGCCAAUUCUGUUAACCAUAGAAACUGGAGCAGGAAGAACAUAGGCAAUUGCAAUUUACAGAUAAUUCCAAAGAUUUUCACUAGCAAGUGACAGCAAAUGAGCUCAUUUUCAGAGGCUUUAAGGCCAAUUCUAAUGUAAUAAACAGAUAGGAAUUGUGUGAAUGCUACACACACACACACACACACACACACACACACUCCCAGCCUGACUUAGGAGGAACCAAUGGAAAGCAGCCCAGAUAUCCAUUCAGGCUUGAUACGCUGCCACCAAGCCCUUACACUUCAUGUUCAUAAACUCACUGCUCAUUCAAGACCUUUGGGCUUAAUGCAAAUUAAUCAAACUGCCAUGCAGCUCAUUUGACUAUUAUCGAGGUUUUAAAAUAAUUGAGAGUGAAGGCAACUGAUUAAACCCUUUCCAAGCUACUGUGGCAGUUUAUGAAUUAUAUAAGUUCCAUAUUAAUGUGACUCCUCUGUGACUGCAGAUUAGCUAGGGGAUAUUCAUUAAGAUGGAAUAAAAAGGCAAGAGUAGCUGUAACAGCCUUUUGUUUCUUAUUCCCUGACAGCUUUCCAGGGACCUCAAUAUGAAAGCAUAAAAAUAAUAUACUUUAAUUUCUAUAGCAUUUUACAAAUAGGAUAAUAUAUGUUUUUUAUCCCAUUUGAUCUCCCCACUAAUCCGGUGAGCUUGGCAAGGCUGGUGUUGCUCUCUUUGUCUUACGGGAAAAGAAACUAAAGGCUCAAGUAAGUUAAGUGCCUCACAGAUAAUAAGGGAGAGGAUGUAGUCAAAUACCCAGGCCUGCUGACUCCCAAUCCAGUGUCUUUCCCACACGCCAUGGUUUCUCUCCUUAAGAACCAUGUUUCUCCCAAAACAGUUCCUUCAUUCUUCCAUCUUAGAUGCCCAAAACUGUCAGAUCUGAGGCUAGUUGAGGGAAGAUGGUGAGAGCUAGACUUCAUAGAAUAUGCAGAUUUUCCCAAAAGCCAGAAUCACUAGGGAAGAAAUGACAUCAACUUCCCAUAAACGCUUCCAGAGAUUUUUCAAAAUAAUGAGUACUUCGUAACUCAUUUUAUAAGGUCAGCAUAAUGUUGAUAUCAAAACCUUUUCAUAGUUCUGGAGGCUAGGAAGUCUGAGAUAGAGGCACUGGCAAGUUCCCUUGUCUGAUGAGAGCUGCUUUCCAAGAUGGUACCUUGAUGCUCUGUCCUCCAGAGGGGAGAAAUGCUGAGCCCCUACACGGUAGAAGGUGGAAAGGCAAGGGGGCUGAAUGCUGUAUGAAGCCUCUUUUAUAAAGGCCUUAAUUCCAUCACAAGGGAGAAGCCCUCAU